UAAUUCGCAGAAUGUGGAAUUGUAGGGGUUGAAGAGGGCAUCAGAGCAGUUUGGCUGUCAUGUACUAGAAUUGGUCACUGAUCGCCAUGUCCAGGUGAAAAAGUACAUAAGAGAAGGCCAAACGAUGCAUUAUUUUGAUGUUUAGCACAUGGCUAAAGGUGUUCGGAAGAAACUUGAAGCUGCCUCUAAAAAGAAACGUUGUCUAGAUAUUGUGCCAUGAAUCAAUUCCAUUUCCAGUCAUAUGUAUUGUGUAUCGGGAACAAGCGGCGAUGACAAAGACCUGAAGCUGGCGAAAUGAAGGUCAGCUUCUAACCAUGUUAUCAAUGUUCACAUCAGCCAUGGAGUGAACUUUGCUGCCUGUGAACACGAAGCCUGUAACAUUGAGAGAGUGUGGCUCACAGCGGGAUCUAGAUCCCAAAAGUUGGUGAAGGCUAUCGUCAACAGCCCAUAUCUCAUAAAGGACAUCCCACAUCUAUCCAAACUGCACCAGACGUCAUUCCUAGAGGUGUACCACCAUGUUGUAAACCAUUUCGCCCCAAAAAGUACCCAUGUCUUCAUUUCUGCUAUUUAAGCUAGACUGCAUCUUGCUGCUUUCCAUUAUAACGGAAAUGGAAAUAAAGCUCAAGCCAUAGCACUCCGUGUUGGCGAUUGGUUUAUCAAAAAGCAAAGAAAAGGAUGCAGUCAUGAAAGCUGUGAAGGAAAUCUCUAGCUUCAAGUAUGUGCACACACUGAUGGAAUACUUAAUGCAAAGACGAUACCAGCUGGAUAAUUACUGAGUUGCAAGAAUAGAUGCCAUACAGGCAGUGUUAAGCAUGCCUGGAUUCUUAACAAAUGACUAUCACAGGGUGGAGAAAACAGAAGCUCACGAUUCAGUGCUAUUUGAUAAGGUGUAUAUGUGAUGAAUAUCAAGUGAUGACAAAAAAGAAAAGAAGAUGUUACAGUGUUAUGAAAAAUUUUAUUAAUUUAUUUAUGGUCUAGCAUAUUGAAAGCCAGUAAAUUUCCGAUGGGAAACUGUCUCUAAUCUUCACAACUCAUACAGGAAGCACACGGCGAUUUCUUUGACCAAUCCAUCUCGCAAAUCGUCUAUAAGCAAUAUAUCUGUAUGUCCUGUAAAGGAAGAAAGAGUGAAGAAAUUAAAAAUAUUCAAUGCAUCGACGUAUUUUAUGGACACGUUACUGUUCCAGUGUGUUUCCAUCAAAUGAUUUUGUUGUUAAUUAUCUUUAGAAACCCUAAAACAUGACCAUGUUUAAUUGUUUAUUAAAUAAAGGUCAUUUUGUGAGAGUUA